rnacentral:lncRNA from 1 species
AUGGAACAUUUCUUUAAAAAGAUAAAGGUCUGUCAUAUCUGUUUCUUUUUUUUAGAAGAAAUGCUGCAUCAACAAUCUUCAAAAAAUAGGAAGAGGUGUGCAGCCAAUAAAAAGGAACCCAGAAAAGAAUAAUGAAAUUGAUAUCCCCCCCACCCCUCCCUCUGAAAUUAAGUGGACUCAUCAAUAGAAAAGGUAU